AGCUACUGGAGCUAGGAGCAAGACGGUUUCUCAGCAGCUCUCGGGCAACUUGUCGCAGGUUUGGCUAAAACAUGGCAUCUCUCUUUGUAAAGAAAAUGAUGGUUAUGAUCACCAGUCCUCUUCUCCAUGUGAGCAGAUAUUCAGCUAAACCUUCCUCGAUCUCUGCGUUUCUGUUUUCAUCGCGACAAAAUACAGUUUCCUUAGAUGCUGAUUCUAUGAAGUAUAGAACAAUAACUCAUCCAUUUCUUUCCCAUUAUCUGCUAAGAUCCUUUCAGCCUACUCUUGGGUUCAAAACAAAAGCUGUCCU